AGGCGGGCCCGCCUCCUCCGAGACCCGGGGCGAUGGAGACCUGGGAGCUCAGAGAUCCGGAGCCCCGGGGACCUGCAGACCUAGGGGACUCACACAGCCCGGAUCGCAUAGACCCAGGACCUCACAGAGCCAGAAUCGCAUAGAUCCGGCACCGCAGAGCCUCGGGACCUCAAACACGCUGGGACUCAAAGACUUCGCCUCCCACUUCCCAAUCCUGCACAAACUCCUCAUGAGACCCUGGGAGCUCACCGAUCUCCAGAGCCACCCUGCUCAAAGACCCCGGGAACCUCACAGACCCCGGGCCCCCUCCCAGCUCCUCUGAGAUACCGUAUUGUCCGUGUUGUCGUUCCCCUAACCCCUUGCAGCAAGGCCCUGCACGGGCCUAAAAACUGCCCCAGCUCCUUAGAUAUUGCUCCCUCUCUCCUUGCCCACACUUCCCUUCCCUGUAACAUUCAAAGGCUCUCCUUCCAGGACCCGGCCAACUCCUUGAAGACCCCACUCAGGACCAGGACAGACGGGGCCCCUCCCUCAUUCCAAACCUGACAUUCCUCACCCUUGCCCACAAGGGGCCCCAGAUAUACCCGAAUACUCGAGAGACUCUGGAGACAAGGCUUGGCCUGGCAGAGACACCUACCUAUUCCUUUCCAACUGCUCCACGCACACCCCAGGGUUCCGAGGUUUGGACCGCCUAGAGCCACUCCAGCACCCAACGUUGCCCUGAUGCCAGAGCUCAGCCCUCCAUCCUCUCCAACACUCCAAUUCACCGUUCUCAAGGUAUCUUCUACUUCCAAAACAAGCCCUCUUCCCUAUCGGCCCUCACACCCUCUGUCUUGGCUAGUUUUGUGUCAGCUCGACCAGGGACACAAGCUAGGUUCAUCUGAGAGGAGAAAAACUCAGUUGAGAAAACGCCUCCAUAAGAUAAGGCUGUAUGACAUUUUCUUAAUUAGUGAUUGAUGGGGGGUGGGAGGGAACACAGCCCAUUGUGGUGCCAUCCCUGGACUGGUGGUCCUGGGUUCUAUAAGGAAGCAGGCUGAGCAACGUAGGGGAAGACAAGCCAUCAGCUCCUGCCUCCAGGUUCUUGCCUGGUUUGACUUCCUGACUUAGCAUCCCUCAGUAGACUGUAAUUCGGGACAUGUAAGCCAAAUAAACCCCUCCUCCACCCCCAAGUAGCUUUGGUCAUGGUGUUUCAUCAUAGCAAUAGGAAGGUGACUAAGCCGGGCAGUGGCGGCGCACACUUUAAUCCCAGCAUUCCGGAGGCAGAGGCAGGCGGAUUUCCGAGUUUGAGGCCAGCCUGGUCUACAGAAUGAGUUCCAGGACAGCCAGGGCUACACAGAGAAACCCUGUCUCGAAAAAACAAACAAACAAACAAAGGACACACCUCCCUCCACUGUAUCCUACUGCAGGCUUCCCUCCAUCAGCCCCAAGUCCAGCAUAAUUCACUGAACACAUGCCCUGCCCAAAGGCACCAGCUCUAUCUACACUUGGGUUCUGAUUCCUACCUGGAUCACUUCUCUAAGUUUGGUCCCAAAAUAAACAUAACCUCACAGAGCAAUAAAUCCAGUCUUUAAUUCUCAGACACCAAAACUCUCCCUUCUGGCUCCCUAGUCUUCAAUCGUGAACUCACCCCUAAAGUCCCCCGUGGAAGCACUAAUUCUAUCUACAGCCUACGGAACAGAGGACCUCACCCCUUUCCUGACCUCCAAGGAGAGCCCGACCAUGUGAUAGUUUUAAAGUUUGGUUUCUCUAGGACUGGAUAAUGGAUCAAAUAAACUCUGGAAAAGGAAAGAAAA
rnacentral:lncRNA from 1 species